GAGCGGUAUUGUGUUCUUCGGAAAUGAGAGAGCGGCGUACGGGUGCGGAACACGUGUGCAACCUGCCUUUAUCUGGGGGAUAGCCUUUCGAAAGGAAGAUUAAUACCCCAUAAUAUAUUGAAUGGCAUCAUUCGAUAUUGAAAACUCCGGUGGAUAGAGAUGGGCACGCGCAAGAUUAGAUAGUUGGUGAGGUAACGGCUCACCAAGUCUGCGAUCUUUAGGGGGCCUGAGAGGGUGAUCCCCCACACUGGUACUGAGACACGGACCAGACUCCUACGGGAGGCAGCAGUGAGGAAUAUUGGACAAUGGGUGAGAGCCUGAUCCAGCCAUCCCGCGUGAAGGACGACGGCCCUAUGGGUUGUAAACUUCUUUUGUAUAGGGAUAAACCUACUCUCGUGAGAGUAGCUGAAGGUACUAUACGAAUAAGCACCGGCUAACUCCGUGCCAGCAGCCGCGGUAAUACGGAGGGUGCAAGCGUUAUCCGGAUUUAUUGGGUUUAAAGGGUCCGUAGGCGGAUCUGUAAGUCAGUGGUGAAAUCUCACAGCUUAACUGUGAAACUGCCAUUGAUACUGCAGGUCUUGAGUGUUAUUGAAGUAGCUGGAAUAAGUAGUGUAGCGGUGAAAUGCAUAGAUAUUACUUAGAACACCAAUUGCGAAGGCAGGUUACUAAGCAACAACUGACGCUGAUGGACGAAAGCGUGGGGAGCGAACAGGAUUAGAUACCCUGGUAGUCCACGCCGUAAACGAUGCUAACUCGUUUUUGGGCUUUCGGGUUCAGAGACUAAGCGAAAGUGAUAAGUUAGCCACCUGGGGAGUACGAACGCAAGUUUGAAACUCAAAGGAAUUGACGGGGGCCCGCACAAGCGGUGGAUUAUGUGGUUUAAUUCGAUGAUACGCGAGGAACCUUACCAAGGCUUAAAUGGGAAAUGACAGGUUUAGAAAUAGACUUUUCUUCGGACAUUUUUCAAGGUGCUGCAUGGUUGUCGUCAGCUCGUGCCGUGAGGUGUUAGGUUAAGUCCUGCAACGAGCGCAACCCCUGUCACUAGUUGCCAUCAUUAAGUUGGGGACUCUAGUGAGACUGCCUACGCAAGUAGAGAGGAAGGUGGGGAUGACGUCAAAUCAUCACGGCCCUUACGCCUUGGGCCACACACGUAAUACAAUGGCCGGUACAGAGGGCAGCUACACAGCGAUGUGAUGCAAAUCUCGAAAGCCGGUCUCAGUUCGGAUUGGAGUCUGCAACUCGACUCUAUGAAGCUGGAAUCGCUAGUAAUCGCGCAUCAGCCAUGGCGCGGUGAAUACGUUCCCGGGCCUUGUACACACCGCCCGUCAAGCCAUGGAAGUCUGGGGUACCUGAAGUCGGUGACCGUAACAGGAGCUG
rnacentral:rRNA from 1 species